CUAGGGGUGGCACGGAGCCUGAGACUUUCUACUAAGAAAGAACCCUAUGAACCUGAUCCAGUUAAUACUGGCGUAGGGACAGGC
rnacentral:ncRNA from 1 species